AGGACCCAAGGCGGCUCAAUGUCCACGCCUCUUUUUUAAAAAAGAAACUUUUCUAUUGGAAGUGUGUCUAGUAGCUUCGUAAUCUGCCUAAUAUUUCCUUUCUCUGCUUUUAUUUCCCAGGUCUUUCCCCCACAGAACGGUCUGCAGGACUGGCCCAAAACGGCUACAGCCCCAGGCGGGAUAUCAUCGUAUACUGUAAGUUGGAAUGAGACACUACAGUAUAGAUGAUGUACUACCUUGAGCUCCGUCUUGCCUCUGAACACCUGGCAGCCCUCGAUCCGAAGAAGGCCGGCAAGAAAACAGAUGGGUUCUUAAAAAGAUCCUUCCACCUGCAGAGGCUCUGGGUUGGCAUCACCGGGGGGGAACAGCCUAGGCAGAAACAAAGGGGCCUUUUGGGUUAGUGCUGGCGCGCCGGUUGUGGUUUAUGCCAUGGUGGUGGAGGCGAGAGAGAACACCGAUAUUCUUCUUUAGAGGGGACUUUGAGGGCUCAAGGGGGGUUUUCUCGCCCUCCAGGGCUCAUAGAGGCUGGCAAAAAACCCCAAAGAUGGCAGUAGAAGCCGCUGGAAGACCUUUUUCACUUUAGCACCGAGGGGCUGUGCCCGAGGAUUCUGCAGCCAAGCCUGGAAGAUAAACCCCACGGUGUGUCGGCUAAACCGUUACCAUUACUGAGUUUAGUAAUGGUAAUGGUUCUUCUGCCACGCCGGCCAGCAUCGAAGUUCGCCAAGGAAGGAAGAGCAAGCCCCGUCGUCCUCCGGCAAACCUCUGAUCAGGCCACGGGCCUCCCUGUAAGAAAUAAAUGUCAUUGCCCAGAUA